GACGAACGCUGGCGGCGUGCUUAACACAUGCAAGUCGAGCGGGAUCCAACCGGUGGCAACACCGGGGAAGAUCUAGCGGCGAACGGGUGAGUAACACGUGAGCAACCUGUCCCGAAGACUGGGAUAACACCGGGAAACCGGUGCUAAUACCGGAUGUCGUCAUUAGGCCGCAUGACCUGAUGAUGAAAGGAUUCAUCGCUUCGGGAGGGGCUCGCGGGCUAUCAGCUGUUGGUGGGGUAACGGCCUACCAAGGCGACGACGGCUAGCUGGUCUGAGAGGACGACCAGCCACACUGGGACUGAGACACGGCCCAGACUCCUACGGGAGGCAGCAGUGGGGAAUAUUGGACAAUGGGCGCAAGCCUGAUCCAGCGAUGCCGCGUGUGUGAAGAAGGCCUGCGGGUUGUAAAGCACUUUCAGUAGGGAAGAAAGACCGAGUGCUAAUAUC
rnacentral:rRNA from 1 species